GAUGAAGAACGUAGCGAAAUGCGAUAAGUAAUGUGAAUUGCAGAAUUCAGUGAAUCAUCGAAUCUUUGAACGCACAUUGCGCCCGCCAGUAUUCUGGCGGGAAUGCCUGUUCGAGCGUCAUUUCAACCCUCAAGACCCCUUCGGGGGACUUGGUGUUGGGGACCGGCACAGGGGCCUGCCUGCUUGUCUUGCAGCGCCCUCGCCGCCCCCGAAAUGAAUUGGCGGCCUCGUCGCGGCCUCCCCUGCGUAGUAGCACAAACCUCGCAACGGGAACGUGACGGCGGCCACUGCCGUAAAACAACCCAAUUUUAUUAGAGUUGACCUCGAAUCAGGUAGGAAUACCCGCUGAACUUAAGCAUAUCAAUAAGCGGAGGA
rnacentral:misc_RNA from 1 species